rnacentral:rRNA from 1 species
AAUCCUACGGGACGCAGCAGUGGGGGAUAUUGCACAAUGGGGGAAACCCUGAUGCAGCGACGCCGCGUGUGGGAAGACGGUCUUCUGGAUUGUAAACCACUGUCCCCAGGGACGAAAAUGACGGUACCUGGGGAGGAAGCUCCGGCUAACUACGUGCCAGCAGCCGCGGUAAUACGUAGGGAGCAAGCGUUGUCCGGAAUUACUGGGUGUAAAGGGAGCGCAGGCGGGAAGCCAAGUCAGCUGUGAAAACUACGGGCUUAACUUGUAGACUGCAGUUGAAACUGGUUUUCUUGAGUGAAGUAGAG